GGGCCCGCACAAGCGGUGGAGCAUGUGGUUUAAUUCGAUGCAACGCGAAAAACCUUACCUACUCUUGACAUACUUGGAAGCUCUUGUAAUGAGAGUGUGCCUUUUGGAACCAAGAUACAGGUGCUGCAUGGCUGUCGUCAGCUCGUGUCGUGAGAUGUUCCGUUAAGUCGGAUAACGAGCGCAACCCUUACCCUUAUUUGCCAGCGAUUCGGUCGGGAACUAUAAGGGGACUGCCGGUGAUAAACCGGAGGAAGGUGAGGACGACGUCAAGUCAUCAUGGCCCUUACGAGUAGGGCUACACACGUGCUACAAUGGGGAAUACAGACGGACGCUAAGCCGCGAGGUGGUGCUAAUCCUAGAAAAUUCUUCGUAGUCCGGAUUGGAGUCUGCAACUCGACUCCAUGAAGUCGGAAUCGCUAGUAAUCG
rnacentral:rRNA from 1 species